UUUUAUUGAAAACAUUAUACUAAUCAAGUUAUAACAACUCCCUUCAUGCAUAAAAACCUAGAACACAUUGUUGGACAUCAACAUAAGCAUACAAAGUUCCUAUAAGCAUGCUCAAAACUAUAGCACACAAGAAAAAUCAUUUUCAAGGACUAGUGACCUGCGUGGCUGCGCAGGAUUUUGCAAAGGAAGUGGCGCGGCCGCGCCACUUCAGGUUCAGCCCAGAAAUAGACUCUGUUCUGUAGAGCUCGAAAACACUUGAACUAAAACCAACUUUAAUCCUACCGUGAUAACAAUUAACCAUAUCAGACAUAUCAAAACACCACUUUUGAUUAUAUCAGAUCAUUAAUCACCAUAUCUAUUAACCAAAUUCCUUCACCAUAUACAAAAUAAAUUCCCAUACAUAUUACCAAACUUUUUAAGUUUAGAUAUAAAAUUCCCACUUUUCAAUCAAUUACAAAAGAUGAUGUUUUUAUCUUAAGCCUUCUUAACUCCUACUGAAUCCAGAACUUGCUUUGCUUUAAUUUCUCCCUUAAUAUCCUUUCGAUCUUCAAUAGCUAGGCUGGAGAUAAGAUGAACAAGGACUGCACUCUCUAAUAGAAUAACGUUAUUGGAUCUUGAAUCAAAGAACUCAAAGAUAGAAGCUUAAGCUUGGUUUAUAUAUAAAGUAACAAUCUUGGCCAUUACAUAAUAGCUCUGCUGAGUUUGAUAGCCUAUAAGGCUAUGUUUAUAAUAUGCUGCCAGCUCCUCCUUAAUACAUA
rnacentral:lncRNA from 1 species